rnacentral:rRNA from 1 species
GACGUAGGGUCCAAGCGUUGUCCGGAUUUACUGGGCGUAAAGCGCGCGUAGGCGGUCUGUUAAGUGCACAAUUGAAAGCUCCGGGCUCAACUCGGAAAUUGCUUUGCAUACUGGCAGGCUGGAGGGACGCAGAGGUCUGUGGAAUUCCUGGUGUAACGGUGAAAUGUGUUGAUAUCAGGAGGAACACCCAUGGCGAAGGCAGCAGACUGGGCGUUUCCUGACGCUGAGGCGAGAAAGGGUGGGGAGCGAACAGG